rnacentral:rRNA from 1 species
CCCUUAGACGUUCUGGGCCGCACGCGCGCUACACUGACGAAGGCAACGAGCUUUCCUUUACCGAAAGGUAUGGGUAAUCUUUUGAAACUUCGUCGUGCUGGGGAUAGAUCCUUGCAAUUUUUGAUCUUAAACGAGGAAUUCCUAGUAAGCGCAAGUCAUCAACUUGCGUUGAUUACGUCCCUGCCCUUUGUACACACCGCCCGUCGCUACUACCGAUUGAAUGGUUUAGUGAGGCCUUCGGAUCCGCGACUCGUUUUGUGGAGAAGUUGGACAAACUCAGUCAUUUAGAGGAAGUAAAAGUCGUAACA